rnacentral:lncRNA from 1 species
GAGCCCCUCCCCCUCACAACACAAAAUGCCCCCUCUAAUUCCCUAACAUAGCACCCCCAGGGAAAGCCACCCUAAGCAGAAGGCAUUGAGUGUUGACAACUCAACCACGAGACCCAGCGAGAAAAUCAAAGGGUAAGGCCUCUUAUUUGGGCUCUGUCCCCUGCCAGUCACACAGCUCAGGCCCCACGCCCAGGCCCUCGCCUGAAGGAGAUUGUCAGAUGUCUCAGGACACAAACAAAGACUCCUCUUGGCAAUGCCAUCUCGGGACAAAAUCUAGAUCAUGUUUUAAUUUCUCUGACACUCAGUUUAUGCCCUCCCCUACACAUGUCUGUGUCAUGGAAUUUUAUUUACUUAGGACUUGUGAAAAUAAAGGGUUGCAGCCUCAAAGGACCAAAGCACUGAUGGUGAGAAUGAAUGUGCUGUCCAACCAGUGGGGGAACCAUCUCUGGUCUUCCUGAUGAUCCCCCAGUAAUCCGGUGCCUGGAGCCCCCCACUCUGCCAGCACCUGGCACUGCUCCCGGAUGGAAUGCUAUGUCCCUGCAUUUUCACUUAGUGAAUUGUGCAGCCCGCAGGCUGAACGGGACUCCCCGCAGCUAUGAUGGCACAAUGGCUUCUCCAGGCUUCCCCCCCACCCCCACCUGGCCACAGCCUGUCCCGGGGCUAGAGGCGACAGAGACAAAGGGUCUAGAGAGGAAUUACAUCAAGGAGACAAUGGCGCUCAAAUGCUGAUCAGAGCUUGUUAACAUCCACAUGCCCCACGUGGAAUAAGGGAGACAAGGGGUCUCCUUCCCGAACUGAGGCCACACAGGAAGGAUCUUGUGAGGUUUUGAUGCCAGCAGUUCCCGCUGCCCUCAUGCAAUAGCUUAACACUCCUGCAAAGGCGAGACCGCAUCCCUCACCCGAGCAGUUCCAACUCAGGAUGCGACACAGCAGGAACUGCGGCAUCUCUGAGGAUCUGGGCUGGGGCCGGGAGCGGAUUGGCAGCAGGCAGCGCAAACGUCCUCCCAACCAAAUUGCCCGCGGUCGGGAGGCGAUCGGGGCAAGCGGGUUUCAUAUGCCUGAACGACCAAGAACAUUAAAAACCGAGUUCGGCUUCUGGAAUCCCCAGGAAGGUAAGCCUUCCCAGGAGACCUGCUUCAAACCUCAGGCCCCGGAGCGACAGCGCCCGGCCACGCUCUCCCCAGGCAGGAGCACCCAGGCUCUUGGUGGGUGUACGGUACACUCGCAGACCAAGCCAGCACUGCAGAAAGCCCGGCAGCCACCUGCUCAUCCAGCAGCCAAGCUUCAUCAGCAUCCAGGAACAAAUGGUGUAUUUCUUGGAAGCAAGUGGCUGUCCGUGUUGGUCUUGGAGAGGAGGUAUCGGAAAAGUAUGAUGACAACCUGGUCCUGAGAUAGAGCCAAUCAGCAGGGAGUCACUCAUGUGUGGUGGGUCUACCUCUACCUCCCACCCUCUCACUGCUCACCCUUCAUGGUUAUUAAACUCAGUUCCAAAAAAAAUAAAAAAUAAAAAAUAAAAAUAAACUCA